rnacentral:rRNA from 1 species
CCUACGGGUGGCAGCAGUGAGGAAUAUUGGUCAAUGGACGAGAGUCUGAACCAGCCAAGUAGCGUGAAGGAUGACUGCCCUAUGGGUUGUAAACUUCUUUUAUAUGGGAAUAAAACAGGGUAUGCAUACCCUCUUGUAUGUACCAUAUGAAUAAGGAUCGGCUAACUCCGGGCCAGCAGCCGCGGUAAUACGGAGGAUCCGAGCGUUAUCCGGAUUUAUUGGGUUUAAAGGGAGCGUAGGUGGAUGGUUAAGUCAGGUGUGAAAGUUUGCGGCUCAACCGUAAAAGUGCAGUUGAAACUGGCAGUCUUGAGUGUAGUAGAGGAGGGCGGAAUUCGUGGUGUAGCGGUGAAAUGCUUAGAUAUCACGAAGAACACCGGUGGCGAAGGCAGCUCACUGGACUGCAACUGACACUGAUGAUCGAAAGUGUGGGUAGCAAACAGGAUUAGAUACCCCUGUAGUC